rnacentral:snRNA from 1 species
GUUCUCUCUUCAGCAGCACGUAUAUUAAAAUUGGAAUGAUACAGAUAAGAUUCGCACGGCCUCUGCACAAGGAUAACACUCAAAUUCACGAAACGUUCCCUGUUUUU